CGUCUAAUUAUUAUAGCAGAUAUGAUACACAUGAUCCCAUUCCGAACUCAAAUUGUGAAAUUAUCUAGCGCUUAUGGUAGCAUUAAUUUGUGAGAAUAAGAAAUAAUUAGACAA
rnacentral:rRNA from 1 species